UGUUCAUAUUUGUCUUUAUCUUUUUAAUUAUAAUGUUUACUGAUGUACUUUUAUUAUAAAAAAGAAUAUAAGAGCAAUGUCUAAAAGCUGGCAGGUAUAGAAAAGAUGAUCUCAUUGAAAUUAUUUCUGGAUAGAAUAUGCCUAGGAAGCACAGGAAAAUUAACAGGACAGGACAGAACGGGACAGGACAGGACAGGACAGAACAGAACAACAGAGUUGGAAGGGACCUUGCAGGUCUUCUAGUCCAACUCCCUGCUUAGGCAGGAAACCCUACACCAUUUCAGACAAAGGUCCAUUUCAGGGAAGGGAAGGGUAGGGGGGUGCAAGGGAAAGAUCUCUUUAUUGUAUGUUUCAGUUGUGGAUCUCAGAUUUCCAAUUAAAAAUACAAAGUGGAUACCCAUCACUCCAAACUGCAAUUUUUCUGAGUAGUCAAUAGUCUAUUGUUUUUUUAAAAAAAAAUACCUGACUCAUCCUAGGAUUAAAUACUUACUUUGAAUUCUUCUACAGAGCACUUUCUGUGAUACAAAUUGUUGUUUGAACAGAGGUGAAAGAAGUGUUAUCACCUGUGCAAACCAUCUGGAUAAAGGCUUCACUAUAAAUCAAUAGCUGGCAAUGAGCAAACAAAGAAGGAGGAAGAAGGAAUAUUCAACAGAGACACUGCUUAACAGGCCCCCAAGAAGAGCUCCUUGGCACAUCUACAAGACAAUUUUCCAUCUGCUGCCCUCACAAACCUGCCACACUUCCUGGUGCAACCAGCCAAACUACCUCUUCACAUGACUCAUCUUGAGCGCCCAAUCUGACCUGCAGAAAACAAGAUGAACUUACAAACAGGCAGUUCUGCAGCACUGAACUUCUCUGAUUUGGAGGUGGGUCAGACAUAUGUUAAGUUUGCUCACUCUAUUAUAAUGAGGUUAAACCUGAAGGUCUUGGAGGCCCCACCUGUGUUUUGAAAGGAAGAAGGAUGCCUUGACUGUGUUCAAAUAGUUUUUUUUUUUAAAUGAGGGGAAAGCAUUGUCUGAAUUUGUGAAGUUGCAGUUCUUAUAUCUCUAAAAUAAAAUGACAUAUUAACACAUGUUGAAAAAUGAUUGACUCCAGAAAUAUGUAUUUUGAAGGUACACCAAAGAAACAACAGAGCAUGUGAAAAACAAUGUUCAAGAAGUUUUAUCAGCUCCCGUCUUUUGGAGAAAAUUUAAUGCCACAAUAUGACCAAGCACCAUCUAUUCUUUAUUUAUUAUUAGAAAAACCCAUGAAACAUUUAUGGUACACGGAUGAUCAAAGGUCUGAACAGUCAGAAGCUUUUCAUUUUUUAUAGUAGUCAUAUUACAAUUGUAAUUAAUAAGCUAAAAACUACAAAAUAAAAAAAACUAAAAAAAUAAAAAGAAAAAAGUGCAAAAAAUGGUAAAGAAAGAAAAGAAAGAAAAAAGAAUAUAGUAAGGAAGAAGAAUGUAAUGUUGCUUAUUGUGGUUUUUUUUAUAAAUGUUUCUCUGUGCACUCACUUACAAAUGAUGUUUCUUUAAAACAGUCUUGCUUGAGAACUUACCAAACCUGAGGAGGAAUUUUAGUAAGAAGGAUGCCUUUGUUCUUUCAGGUGUCAGUCCUGCUAUCUCCUUGGUUCCCGAAACAAUGCAGUACCCU